rnacentral:tRNA from 1 species
CCGCAGCCCGGCGCGGCAUUGCUGACGCCUGGCAUUAUCGAUGUCAGUGCGGUGCCCGAGCGCCCCGACGAAGAGCUGUUCGGCCCGCUGCUGCAAG